GUGUAGUCUACGUGAUACACAGAUAUACGCAAUAUACCCAUUAAGAAAUCUCCAGGAUUCACAUAUACCCACUUACAAACGUGCAAUGAUACGCAACAACAUAGUUUUGGGGUUUUAUCUUAUUUUG